CGGCCUACUUCGUACUCAACAUCUGUCUAAGAAGGAUAAGAUUUCGGGUAGAGGUGUUCAGGAUGGCAAAACGGAACUGCUAGAUUUGCUGGAAAGAAACUUUUAUCAUGUGUGAGGCACGGCAAAGGCUAACAGAACUGCCUAAGUGUGAGUUCGCCGGUGCGGAAGCUUAUAUAAUCGUCCCGAGUCCUCUUCGCACUGGAUCUGCCGGUCAAUCGUUUAUGGAAUUUUAUUAUCCAUAUUAUUUGCUGCUUCAUGUACACUCACAUGUACUAUACACGGCAUAAGGCGGCUUCCUUGUUUC